rnacentral:rRNA from 1 species
ACGCACGCUGGCGGCGUGCCUCAUCCAUGCAAGUCGAACGCUUCUUUCCUCCCGAGUGCUUGCACUCAAUUGGAAAGAGGAGUGGCGGACGGGUGAGUAACACGUGGGUAACCUACCCAUCAGAGGGGGAUAACACUUGGAAACAGGUGCUAAUACCGCAUAACAGUUUAUGCCGCAUGGCAUAAGAGUGAAAGGCGCUUUCGGGUGUCGCUGAUGGAUGGACCCGCGGUGCAUUAGCUAGUUGGUGAGGUAACGGCUCACCAAGGCCACGAUGCAUAGCCGACCUGAGAGGGUGAUCGGCCACACUGGGACUGAGACACGGCCCAGACUCCUACGGGAGGCAGCAGUAGGGAAUCUUCGGCAAUGGACGAAAGUCUGACCGAGCAACGCCGCGUGAGUGAAGAAGGUUUUCGGAUCGUAAAACUCUGUUGUUAGAGAAGAACAAGGACGUUAGUAACUGAACGUCCCCUGACGGUAUCUAACCAGAAAGCCACGGCUAACUACGUG